rnacentral:rRNA from 1 species
GACGAACGCUGGCGGCGUGCCUAACACAUGCAAGUCGAACGGAGAAGUUCAGCAAUGGAUUUCUUAGUGGCGAACGGGUGAGUAACGCGUAGACAACCUGCCUCUAAGCUGGGGACAACAACUCGAAAGGGUUACUAAUACCGAAUGUGAACAGUGCCUCGCAUGAGAUGCUGUUUGAAGGUGGCCUCUGAAUAUGCUACCGCUUAGAGAUGGGUCUGCGUCUGAUUAGCUAGUUGGAGGGGUAAUGGCCCACCAAGGCGACGAUCAGUAGCCGGUCUGAGAGGAUGAACGGCCACACUGGGACUGAGACACGGCCCAGACUCCUACGGGAGGCAGCAGUGGGGAAUCUUCCGCAAUGGACGAAAGUCUGACGGAGCAACGCCGCGUGAGUGAAGAAGGCCCUCGGGUCGUAAAGCUCUGUCUUCAGGGACGAAUGUGCAGAUUGUGAAUAAUGGUUUGUAAUGACGGUACCUGAGGAAGAAGCCACGGCUAACUACGUGCCAGCCGCCGCGGUAA